CAGGUUCGGCCGCCGAACCUCAAGUUUGGCCGCCGAACAUGGCAUGCAUGCGGAGGCACAUUCGGCCCCCGAACGUGGCCUGGACAGCCACUAUAAAAGGGUCCCUUAGCCGAAAACGGGCGAGCUUUUCCCCAUUUUCGGCCAAGGUGAGCUCUCCACCGUCCCUCACCGAUCUUUGAUGUUUUUCCUCUAGAUCUUUCAAGUUUUUCAUUUUUUUUAACUUUGUUUUGAAGAUUUGAGCUUUGAGCAAAGUUUUGGAGCUUUGAGGUUCAAGAACUCAAAUCUCUCCCAACUCCAAGUUUGGUCGCCUCUACUCUCGAUCUUCAAGAGGUAAGGGUCGAUCUCUAGCUUAUAUUAUGUUUUAAGUAAGUUUUAUGAAGUUCAUGGGGGUAGAAUGCAUGUUUAGGUUAUAGUUAUGUUUAUGGGUAUAAAUGUAUGUUCAUGAACAAUGUGGCUUGUAAUGUGUGUUUGAUGUGUUGUAGUUGGGGUUUAAGGUAGUUUGAGACCCCUAGGAGCUUGUAUGCAUGUUUUGGUUGAGCUAAAUGCAUGUUGGU
rnacentral:lncRNA from 1 species